AUACCUUUCUCGGCCUUAUGGCUAAGAUCAAGUGAAGUAUCUGUUCUUAUCAGUUUAAUAUCUGAUACGUGGGCCAAGGGCCCACUUGAUAUUAAAUUUAUUUUUUGUUGGGUGAGGGCCCAUUACAAUAGCUUGCUAUUGGGGCCUUCGAGUGUCGCCUUUGCGUUGCACUGCUGCGAAGGAUCGGCGCAACCCUA